GAUGAACGCUGGCGGCGUGCCUAAUACAUGCAAGUCGAGCGAACGGACGAGAAGCUUGCUUUUCUGAUGUUAGCGGCGGACGGGUGAGUAACACGUGGAUAACCUACCUAUAAGACUGGGAUAACUUCGGGAAACCGGAGCUAAUAUCGGAUAAUAUUUUGAACCGCAUGGUUCAAAAGUGAAAGACGGUCUUGCUGUCACUUAUAGAUGGAUCCGCGCUGCAUUAGCUAGUUGGUAAGGUAACGGCUUACCAAGGCAACGAUGCAUAGCCGACCUGAGAGGGGGAGCGGCCACACUGGAACGGAGACAGGGUCAAGACUCCUAGGGGAGGCAGCAGGAGGGAAUCUUCCGCAAUGGGCGAAAGCCUGACGGGGCAACGCCGGGGGGGGGAGGAAGGUCUUCGGAUCGUAAAACUCUGUUAUUAGGGAAGAAAAUAUGUGUAAGUAACUGGGCACAUCUGGACGGUACCUAAUCAGAAAGCCACGGCUAACUACGG
rnacentral:rRNA from 1 species